UCAUAUCCGUUGGGGUGCCCGUUUUGGGCUGAGAGGUAGCAAUACCAACCCACCGAACCUGAUCCGGCUCGCACCGGCGGAGGGAACGGAAACCGCGCCUCA
rnacentral:ncRNA from 2 species